rnacentral:rRNA from 1 species
GUGAAAUUUUUAAUAGGAAGUAAGUUCUUUACGAAUUUGUUGGAACUAAAAAGUUUAGGUAAAAAACCAGGAUUAGAUACCCUGUUAUUCUAAAAAAUAAUAAAAGAUAGGGUAGUAAAAGUUGUUCUUCAAACCCAAAGAUUUUGGCGGCACCCUAUCCUAACAGAGGAGCUUGUCCUGUAAUUGAUAAUCCUCAUUUUAUCUUACCCUUCCUUGCUUAGCUUGUAUACCGCCGUUGUCAGAUUACUUUAGAAGAAUGUUUUCAAGAAAAAUAUUUUUUUUACUUCAGGUCAAGGUGCAGUUUAUGGUAGGGGAGUUAUGAGCUACAAUUUUUAUUAGAAAACACGAAUUCUAGGUUAAAAACUGGUUGAAGGUGGAUUUGUUAGUAAAUUUAUUUAAGUAUAGUAAAUUGAAUGGGGCAAUUGGGUGUGCACAUAUCGCCCGUCACUCUCUUCUUAAGAGGAGAUAA